GUUGUUGGUCGGAAUUCUUCUAUUUAUUUCUCUUUUCGUGAACGUGUCUUUAAUCUGGUCGUGUUUGGAAGCCCCUUCUUUCACUGAUUUCUCCAACUGAAAUUCGCGGUGCGCUUGGAUCUGUUAAUCAACUUUUUAUAUGUAUUGGGAUUCUUGCAGCAUUAGUAGCCGGUUUGCCUCUUGCAGGAAAUCCUAUAUGACAAUGUUUGGAAUUUUGGUUAUGCAUGACUUAACAGCAGCAAGUCAAGGUUCUU